rnacentral:rRNA from 1 species
GUUGAACGCUGGCGGCAGGCUUAACACAUGCAAGUCGAGCGGGGUGAUGGUGCUUGCACUAUCACUUAGCGGCGGACGGGUGAGUAAUGCUUAGGAAUCUGCCUAUUAGUGGGGGACAACAUCUCGAAAGGGAUGCUAAUACCGCAUACGUCCUACGGGAGAAAGCAGGGGAUCACUUGUGACCUUGCGCUAAUAGAUGAGCCUAAGUUGGAUUAGCUAGUUGGUGGGGUAAAGGCAUACCAAGGCGACGAUCUGUAGAGGGUGUGAGAGGAUGAUCCGCCACGCUGGGACUGAGACACGGCCCAGACUCCUACGGGAGGCAACAGUGGGGAAUAUUGGAAAAUGGGGGGAACCCUGAUCCAGCCAUGCGGCGUGUGUGAAGAAGGCCUUAUGGUUGUAAAGCACUUUAAGCGAGGAGGAGGCUCUUUUGGUAAAUACCCAAGAUGAGUGGACGUUACUCGCAGAAUAAGCACCGGCUAACUCUGUGCCAGCAGCCGCGGUAA